GAAGACUUAACCAAUCAGACAAGUGC
rnacentral:piRNA from 1 species